GAUGAACGCUGGCGGCGUGCCUAAUACAUGCAAGUCGAGCGAACAGAUAAGGAGCUUGCUCCUUUGACGUUAGCGGCGGACGGGUGAGUUACACGUGGAUAACCUACCUAUAAGACUGGGAUAACUUCGGGAAACCGGAGCUAAUACCGGAUAACAUAUUGAACCGCAUGGUUCAAUAGUGAAAGGCGGCUUUGCUGUCACUUAUAGAUGGAUCCGCGCCGUAUUAGCUAGUUGGUAAGGUAACGGCUUGCCAAGGCAACGAUACGUAGCCGACCUGAGAGGGUGAUCGGCCACACUGGAACUGAGACACGGUCCAGACUCCUACGGGAGGCAGCAGUAGGGAAUCUUCCGCAAUGGGCGAAAGCCUGACGGAGCAACGCCGCGUGAGUGAUGAAGGUCUUCGGAUCGUAAAACUCUGUUAUCAGGGAAGAACAAAUGUGUAAGUAACUGUGCACAUCUUGACGGUACCUGAUCAGAAAGCCACGGCUAACUACGUG
rnacentral:rRNA from 1 species